CAUUGUACUGGACCUAGGUGCUGAUUGGGGACCAGAGAAAUGGAAUGCAAUAAAGGGGCUGUGUGAUUACUCUUUUUUGCUUCUUGAUAACCAGUGUGGGAAUCAGAAGCACAAUUUCUGACUGGUUGGGUAAUUUAAUUUCUGUGUUACUCACCAAUCUUGGGAGUAUCCUUUUUGCAGCCUGCCCUGACCCUGGCAUUUUCAGUGAGGGGUCUCCUUGGCACCCCUGGGUCACAGGGACAUUUGUUAACUAUGGCCGUAAAUGUAGACUGUGAUGAGCUUGUAGAAUGAGCUAACACUCUGGGAGGAGGUGGAAAGCUAGCAGCACCAUAAUAUGCAAUAAUACAUCUGGAGAUCCAUUUUGACAGUCUUUGGGUAGAAAUAGUAGAUCCUUUAGAUCUGUCCGCAAACGGAAUGAAUUUAGGAGAUUUUCUGAAUGAUUUAGUUCUAUCUAGGUAGAAAAAUAGUGCCCUCCGGACAUCUAGAAUGUGGAGAUCAGUCUAUAAAAUGGAAUUAUGAUGGUUUUGGAAAGAAAAAUGAUAGAUGAAUAGUCUGAUUCAAAUGAAAUUCAGAUGAUACUUUAGGAAGGAAUCUGGGGUGUGGCAUAGGAAACCUUGUCUUUGUAGAAUUGUGAAAUGAGAGACUGCCAUUAAGGCUCCAAUUUUGUCCACUCUUUGGGCUGAUGAAAUAGCCACUAAAAAGGCAGUCUUCAUAGAUAAGUUAUAUAAUGAGCAGGUUGCCAUUGGUUUCAUGAGAUUGCUAAGAACAAGAUUGAGAUCCCAAACUGAAGUAGGGGCUUUCACCUGUGGAAAAGUGUUUUCCAAGCUCUUCAUGAACCUUAUAAUUGUAGGAUGAGCAAAGAGCGAGAACAUCUCAAUUGUGGAAUGAAAAGCUGCUAAUACAGCUAAGUGAACCUUGAAAGAGCUAACCGUCAACAAUGUUUUCUUUAAAUGCAACAGGUAGUCCAGAACCAGUGGAAGAGGGGCAGAUUCAGGAACAAUUUUCUGGAGGUCACACCACUCACAAAAUCUUUCCCACUUUUGAAGGUAGACUCUUUUCUACUAUUUAGUAAUAUCUGCUGUUCCUCUGCAGAAAAGGCUGACUUUAACUCAAUGAACCAUUGAAGAAGCAUGCCUUGAGGUGGAGAGUUCUCAGAUUGGAAUGCAGUAGUCAACCAGUGUCCUGCAAGAGGAGUUGAGGAAUGAUUGGAGGAUUUAUUUCUGGACAGAGAGCUAGGUGAAGCAGUUGGCACCAGUUGGAGGAAAUGAACUUCCACACCUACACUGCGAUGUUUUCUCCACCAGUCUGGGGAGUGUUUCACGUGUUGGGGAACUGAUACCUAUUUGUAUAAGCUGUGUCUGCUUGGUUCCAGGAGAGCCUUAUUCAGAGGGCAGGUGACUCUGGAUGGAGUUGCAGAGUGGAGAAUAUCCAACCAUUUGGAUUGUGAUUCUUUGAUUUGAUUGAGAGGUAUCUGUAGGGAGUCUCAUCUGUUUGACAAGUUCUUGGAAUUGCUGAAAAUCAUCAUCCAUAGAAAGAGAAGGAUACAUUGCCACCUCAUCAGGUGAUGAGGACAAGAUGGUAGUCUGAAGGGUAACUUCUUUGCCUGCCCUAGCUCUUGAUCCACAAACGUAUCCUCCUGUUGAGUGAUGUGUUAGGAAGGAUAAUUUUGUGCCUCUCUAUCAUUCUGAUGGGACAGGGUUGGGGCCCUGGAGAAUUAUUCGUGAUGACUGCCCCUGAGUCCCAAUAUGGCCACCUAAGGUUGCUGCCACUAAGCAAUAUGUGCUCUGCUGAAGUAAUCCCUGUCUCUUCCAUGGCUCUUGAUACUGGCAAGCAAUGGAGACUCUGGAUCAGCAGUCACCGAUAAGUUUAUUGGGUACCUCAAGUGUUGCAGUACUGCAUGUAGUUGUGGCACUGACUGUAGUUGUGGAGCCGAGCAGACAGUGUGCUUCUCCCUGACAGAUGGUACUGAAGUUUUUGAGUGCUCUGAGGUAGCUACUGAUGUAGACCGGAGCUUGGUCACAUGUGGAACCGAAGAGCCUGUUACAGGAGAUACAGGAAGAGUGAUUAUGUCCGAGAGUACUGCUCUUCUGUGCUUGCUCUGCCCAUCUCUUCCAGAUGGGACUAGUACCUUCUUGGAACCAGGUUUGCUGUUAGAACUACAGGGUUUCCCUAACCCACCAGUACUGGAGGAACCCUUAGCCUCUGUGGCACUAUGCCUCAAGGUGGAGGCUUCCGAGCCCAUUGAUUUGCUUGGAGAGCAAAGUCUUUUCAAGUGGACUCAUUAAAAGUUGAGUUAGAGCUUCUGUUCUUUGGAUAUUUAGAGGAAGUCUCUGAAGCCUUCCCCUCUCUAGGGGAGUGCUGGGCCGAGGUCAACGGGGCACUAGAUACUCCCGGAGACUGAUGUACAGGGAGUUCUACUGACCUGGCUCCGCACCAGGUUGAACCAUCAUUAACAAUCAUAGCUUGAUUUCCUGUUUCUUUCUUGUCCUGGAUUUGAGGGCUAAACAGAAGUUAUAUUUCAGCAGAACAUGGGCCUCUCCUAAACAGUGAGUACAGUUAGAGUGUCCGUCACUGAAUGAGAUGGCCUCAUGUUAUGUGAGGUACCGUUUAAAACACAGUGAACUGGGCAUAACCCUCUCUGGAAGGAAGGUCUCCCAUGAAGUCCUCCAAAUAAAAGUAAUUAACUAACUAAUUAACUAACUAGAACUAAAUGAAUCUAAUCUAAAAUAAACAAAACUAAAAUUACCAAAGGCAAAGUAGCGGACAUGCACUUGCUGCAGUCACACUAAGGCACAUCGCAGGCAGAGACAGCUGAGAAGGAACAGAGGGCAGUUUGACUGUAAAGACCUAUAUAGCCUCGGUGUGCGACAUGAGGAUACAUGCAUAGGCUGAAUGGAUAUCGCUAAUGAAAAUCUCUGGUCAAAGGUGCAUGCACCUGAAAUGGAGCACCCAUAGGGACGCUACCUGAAGAUGAAAAAUAAGUUCCUCUUCAGAUGAAAAUUAGUCUGCAUUUGUGUUGCUUUAAUUUUCUUUUAGAGAUAAUCCUCAUAGUAUUUAUACUUUGAAACAUUUAUUUUAUUUAAGACUUUAUAUUGAAAGGUGGAUACAUUAAUCACAACUCCAUUCCCCACAAUUGAAAGAAUAACUUUUGGUUACGGUGUAAUCUCAUCUUGAAGAGAAACCUCCAAUUCGUUAUUGCAAAAUAAAAUAUAGACUACCAUUUUAACCUUAGAAUCAUAUUUACUUUUCACCUGAAUUUUAAAAGUGAUCAACUUUUCCCCUCUUCUGUUGGCCAAGUUUAAUUUCUGAAAAGCUCCAUCUUUAUUGGUUUGAAGGAUUGAAAAUCCCCUAGAGUUAAAAAUUCAUUAACCUUUCUAUCUUCCUUCACCCUGUAUGGUGCUCUGCUUGUCUAGAGCUGCCCUCUGCUGAUAAAUGUUUGAACUACAUAUUUCAAAUUUCAGCCAAUCUAUUGAGUGAGAUUCUGUGGCCUGCGCUGUGCAGGAGGUCGGUCUAGAUGAUCAGAAUGGUCCCUUCUGACCUUAGCAUCUAUGAAUCUAUGAAAAGCAGAGUGGAAUAAAUACAAAUAUAAACAACUCAGAGCUUGAUUCUAUGAGGUGCUGAUCGCCUUCAACACCCAGGAGUCCAAGAGAGUUGAAGGUGCUCAGCACCACGCAAAGUAGCAGUCUGCCACUUGUAGGACCGAGCCCUAAAUUAUUAAAUAAAGGUAUUUGUACUAUAUACUUUAUUUGAAUUUAUGCACAUUAAAUAUUUGCACUAGAACUUACCAGUUUUUUCUGAAGCUGUUAAUCAAUUACUCUUAUCUGUCUGAUAAAGUUAGGGCUUCAAUAGUCCUUUCCCAAUGAAACCAUACUGUUAUUUUCAAGGACAUAUUCUCUUGCAUUGUUAUGCGUAAUAUUCUGUUGUAUGAAUGCUUAUAUGAUUAUGUAUCACCCACACAGGAAUAAUUCAGAUUGUCUGUGACGCAUAGAUCAGACAGUUUAAAGAGACACCACUGUUCUGAUUCUAUUCUUACACUGGUUUUACAUUGGUUUAACUUCAUUUACUUUGAUGGAAUUACUACUGAUCAUUAAUGUUGGGGAGAAUAGAAUUAGACACAGUAUUUUUUAAAAUUAAAUCUACUUAUAGUCACUGUAAUAUUCAGAAAAUCCUACAGGCAUUUAUU